rnacentral:misc_RNA from 1 species
GGGGGGUUUGUGGGGUGAGGGGUGGUGGUGCCCUACUAUAGUUUUAUUAAUCCUUUUAUGCAUGCGUGGACGAAUGAUGUUACAUGUUUAGGGACGCAAACAUGCUACUGGGGCAAAAUUGUGGACCCCAAAUAUAUAUUGCUUAUACGGAUCUUGUGAUAAGGACUCUGGUUUUUGAAUUUGAGAAGGACACAAUUAUCUUUGGUGUUAUGCUUAUUGAAAUUAUAUGUAGAUUGAUUUUCUUGGAUUCUCUUCUCGUUCAGGGUUGGUUUUGAUCUCCUCUUCUCCUUGUGGUCUAUAACUCGCUUUAUCUGCAUGAGUAUAUAUUUUGUUUGUGUGAGAUUUCGUGUUUAUGGCUUUUUUCUAUGUUAGCUUAUUGUGUUCUAUCAAUCUUGGCAGCGUGCUUCCUGUUUAGGGAGGC